rnacentral:misc_RNA from 1 species
CACACACGGCUACAGUCGAGACGCUACCGCUUGCAUUAGACGAACACCUUAACCGUUCGACAACGCGACGUGAGGCUCUGCCGUCAUGCCUGUGGUGGCGUCACGCGACUAUCGGGCCUCGUGGGAGAUACCCUACGACUUCCGUCCCCGCAUCCACGCCUACCCCGGAUCGAGAAGCGCUGCACGGUCUUGCAUGGGUGCACGGUCACCGACGUCGGCAGCUUCAGACGCCGCGACGGCACCGAGGCAUCAGCGGGUCAAGCGCACGUUGCGACGCUACUGUCUUGCCCCGCGUGCGGCAACUGCAACGCCCGCGGUCGCGGCGCCGGGGGACGACCAGGGUGCCGCACAGGCAACGACAAGCAGCGCUGCUGGCUCCCCUCGAAAAUCAGCCGCUGUUGCGCCGCAGAAGCCGCAGUGUCCCUCGCUCCCACAGCAGCAGCGGCAGCCAAAGAGGUGCACUGGGCGUUGUCCAGGACAGACCUCGCACGCGACGCCGAUUUUGUCGGCAGUCAACGGUGACGGGGAUGCAGGAGCGUCGCCCGCAGGUCUCGUGGCACCUACACCGCCACUCCACACAGCUGCGAAGGCGAGGAGUGGGGAGCGCGGCAUCAGCGCUCCGAGCGCUGCAUUGCACCAGGGACGCUCGCAUGCGAGCCCGCUUUUCACUCGCUGUAGCGUACCACAGAGACCCAUCAGUACAACGGUAGGAGUGGCGCGCCGCUUGCUAGCAAGUCGCCCUACAGAGCACUGUGGACGUGGCAGCGGGGCGCAACCGCCCAGCUCGUCGUCCAUUACCGCCCCAGUACCCCCAGUCCCAGCACCGUCAGCUCCACCACCCUCAGCCCCAGCGGCAACGGCAGCUGCUGCCCACACCGGAUAUCAUCAUCGAACAAAGCCACACUACUCCCUGCGCCCCUCUUACGCCGCUCAUUCUGCACAGUGGUGGCGGAGCCCGGUGCCAACCAUCCGCGUGGCUGAUCGGUAUCGCAGCCCACCAGCGGCGCGGGAGUACCGCCUCCGUGCACGUCAAGUUCGGCACGCAUCUCGUGAGGACUUCGUAGAGGCGCUGCGCAGCUGCAUGGCCAGCGGGGGUCAGGAGGUGGUCCCCGACGGCGUCGUGGGCGCCUUGACUGAUACUCGAGACGCAGGCAGCUUCGACCCGUCGCUGCACAACUACAACGUCAUGGUGACAGACGCCUUCCAGAACAGCAUCGAGGAGCGGGCGGCACGGCUGCAGGCGACGGAGAAUCGCAUGUGGGAGCGGAUCAUCCUGAACGUGGCUCCGCUAGCGGUUGCCCACCAGCACGUGGCGGAGGUGGGUGGGUGGUCAGUGCUGGACAGCGGGCACGUCAGCUCGCCGAUUCGCAUCUCCUCUGCACCGGAGGCGGCGUACGUGGAUGACGGCGUAGCUGAGGACGACGAGGCGAUGGCAGUGGUAGUGCGCCCCUUCUCGGAUGAACUCCUCGGCGACUCAGAGGCGCUGCGAGUAGCCGAGGCGCAGCGGCGGUGGCCCAAAGGCCGCGAGUGGGACCGCCAAGCUGCCAUCCAGCGUGCCGUGGGCUCCACGGCGCAGGAAGCCAUCAUUGACCUCGGCAUUGACCCGCGGUACCGGCAACCUGGUGAACGUCCUGGCUGCGUGAGCAACCGGCGGGCGUAGAUGAGGCCGCCCGGUGUAAGGGAGACCAACGCGUGUGCAACGGUGUGGCUGGAUUAGUGGGUGAUGGAGCCGCUCUCGUCUCUGAGUCCUUCGUAACGCCCAAUCAGCUGGUUCGUUGCUGCCGAUGGUGAAAUGAGUGGUGCAGUUGUGGAAGAAGAGGGGAGGGGGAAAGGAGUGGGAGCAUGGGAAGGGGUAAAAAGGGGAGGGGUGCGCGCGGUGACAGUGAUGCCACCCCCUUCCUCCCUCCUCCCCUCCUCUCCCCUGAUGCAUCUGUGUCUGUCUGCCACUGCACAUGUGAGCCGCGGCUGUGCGGCUCCUUUUUCGGUUUGGGGUACCUCCUCACCUCACCAUCCGCUUCGACGCCGCCGCUGCCGCCACUCAUCGCAAAGGAACGCUCUGCCGUGUAGGAGCGCGGGGGGGGGGGGGCAGCCAUCUUGCUGUGUGUGUGUGGUCUGUGUCGCGUGUUGUCAGGCCUGCCGUCGCCAUAGAGCACACGUGCACUUGUGCGCUGGGACGAGAGAAAGAGAGCGAGGCGAUGUUCAUGGCAUGAGCGCCGGUGUCCCGCCGUCCCUUCCGGUCGCUUGGAGUGUGCUCACGCUGGCAGAAGUGGAGCGAGACACCCUGAUCCUGGUGUAACGGUGCACGAGAGGGGAAGGGGCCGAACCCAAACCGCCAGCUGUGAGGGUCCUUGCACAGCAUCUGCGUUCAUUCGUGUGGUACUGCCGAUGGACCCUUCCUCCUGUCGCCUUGGCGGCUGCGCUUCCCUGUGAAUCAUUCCCAAAAACCUGCUCCCCAUCAUCAUCUCUCUGCAG